UCUUUCAUCUUGACAAGGCUUGAAGUGUCACUGGAGAAGCAGGAAAUGCUGGGUGCCGGAGUAUCCCUUCUGCAUACUUCAUAGCGCAGGGAAUAUCUCUAGAGUGUGGCUCUUUGAUAAGGGAGAGAAAAGUGCUAGACCUUGGGUCCGUAACACAUUUUCCUUACCUCACCUGAGUCUUAUACCAGAAAACAGAGCCCAGCACGCAAUUAUUUUGAAUAUCUCCUAUAAGUGCUAGACAGACACCACUUCUUUACUUCUUCAUUUACUGUUACCGAUACUCAGGUUUUGCACCCCGACUGAAGCAUGUACUGAACCACAGGAAACAUAUGUGAUGUGGUGUUGGGAAGGGGAACGUGGUAAGAAAAGAGAUGCUAAAAAGGAUGCCUGGAACCUGUAAGUUCUGGGUUCUCAUGGUCAGAAGGUGGAUGGAUAGCACUGUGGAACACUGGGGCAAGGGAAUCAAUGGUCUGGUCUGGCAGGCUUCUUGAAAGCAUGCAAUGAUUAAACUGGGACAGAAAGAAAUGACUAUCCUGGCUGCUUAAAUGCAAAUGCUUAUAACUUGAGGUUCUUACUAUGGAUCAUUAUCUGAGAUUGGCCUUGAUUUAAUAAAUUUCAUUUAUGUUGUGGGAUAGAACUUUGAAAGAGUCCACUGGGAAAUAUCUGGAUUAGAUGGGAUGUUCUGUGGAACCUUUGAAGGAAGACAAUGUGAGACAGGUGCUGAAGACAGGGCCUGAUGGCCCCAUGCUGCUACAGAGCCACGGGUGUGGCCCAGAGGAGUAAACUACAAGCUUUAUGAGGUGUUCUGGUAACUCAACUCAAGGUUCUCAGUUCAUCUCUAGAUAAAAUAUUACCACAAUGCACCAACUAGACACCUCUGGAAGGAGCUACUGCUGUAUUUACUACUGAGACCACCCUGAGAAGACUUCCAAGAUAGCACAUUUCUCAAGAAAAAUAAAUGUAGCUCAGCUCCAUGGACCAAGUCAACAUGGGUGAUAACAAUGAUCAGUACUCCAUGAAUAAAGAAUUUAAGCCAACAUAAAACACAUUCUGUUCCACCCAGGAACAGGUAGAGGAAGGGAAGCUGACGAACUUUGUAGUUCAGCAAUGACAGCUGCUCAGUCUGCUCUAACCCACUUAUCUUAGUAUUUUGUCCCCAAGUGUGGUGGUUUGAAUGGAAAUGGCCCCUAUAGGCCGACAGGGAGUGGUACUUGUUGGAAAGAGUAUGACAUGGGUUGGGGGGGGGAGGCAAUUCAAAUGCUCAAACCAAGCCUAGUGUAGCUCUCUUCCUGUUGCCUGAGGACCCAAUUAAUAUUUUCCCUUGUAAGGAGAGUUGCUGAGGUCAUGGUGUCUCUUCACAGCAAUAGAACUUUGACUAUGACACCAAGAUUCACACGCUGGAGCCUAAUCUCCAAGACAGUAGCACUGGGAUGCAAACCACUAGAUCUCCACCUGCAUGGACAGGCCUAAUACCCUAUAGAAGGGUCCUCAGAGCUGGUUAGAUCCGUCUACUACAUGAAGACUCAAGUGAGAAAGUUCUGUCUUGGAGGAACAAAUCCACGUGCCUGGUUUGGGGUUCCACAAGCACCCAAAUAGCCAGUCAAUCUAACACAGUACCUGAGAUCAGAAUAGAGACAAAAGGAAAGAGCUGAGGGCAGAUGCAAGGGGAACGGACAUGCUGAGUAGCUAAGGAGAGGACUACAGAGCCAGACAAGAGCCACAGCUCUCCCUCACUCAUGCUUUGUACUGAGCAUGUUUGGAACUAUCAUCAAUUCUACAUGUUCAGCUAUGGCACUGUGGUCAGGGUCUGUAGAGCCUUUACAUGUAUUGUAUAUACGCUUGUCAAUAAUACUUUUAAGUUUCUGAAACAAAGAGGAAUCAACAAUAAACACUGUU